CGCUAGCUACAGGCUUAACACAUGCAAGUCGAGGGGCAGCAUGGUCUUAGCUUGCUAAGGCCGAUGGCGACCGGCGCACGGGUGAGUAACACGUAUCCAACCUGCCGUCUACUCUUGGACAGCCUUCUGAAAGGAAGAUUAAUACAAGAUGGCAUCAUGAGUCCGCAUGUUCACAUGAUUAAAGGUAUUCCGGUAGACGAUGGGGAUGCGUUCCAUUAGAUAGUAGGCGGGGUAACGGCCCACCUAGUCUUCGAUGGAUAGGGGUUCUGAGAGGAAGGUCCCCCACAUUGGAACUGAGACACGGUCCAAACUCCUACGGGAGGCAGCAGUGAGGAAUAUUGGUCAAUGGGCGAGAGCCUGAACCAGCCAAGUAGCGUGAAGGAUGACUGCCCUAUGGGUUGUAAACUUCUUUUAUAAAGGAAUAAAGUCGGGUAUGGAUACCCGUUUGCAUGUACUUUAUGAAUAAGGAUCGGCUAACUCCGUGCCAGCAGCCGCGGUAAUACGGAGGAUCCGAGCGUUAUCCGGAUUUAUUGGGUUUAAAGGGAGCGUAGAUGGAUGUUUAAGUCAGUUGUGAAAGUUUGCGGCUCAACCGUAAAAUUGCAGUUGAUACUGGAUAUCUUGAGUGCAGUUGAGGCAGGCGGAAUUCGUGGUGUAGCGGUGAAAUGCUUAGAUAUCACGAAGAACUCCGAUUGCGAAGGCAGCCUGCUAAGCUGCAACUGACAUUGAGGCUCGAAAGUGUGGGUGUCAAACAGGAUUAGAUACCCUGGUAGUCCACACGGUAAACGAUGAAUACUCGCUGUUUGCGAUAUACUGCAAGCGGCCAAGCGAAAGCGUUAAGUAUUCCACCUGGGGAGUACGCCGGCAACGGUGAAACUCAAAGGAAUUGACGGGGGGCCGCACAAGCGGAGGAACAUGUGGUUUAAUUCGAUGAUACGCGAGGAACCUUACCCGGGCUUAAAUGGCAGAUGAAUUACGGUGAAAGCGGUAAGCCGCAAGGCAUCUGUGAAGGUGCUGCAUGGUUGUCGUCAGAUGGAGCCGUGAGGUGUCGGAUUAAGUGUCAUAACGAGCGCAACCCUUGUUGUCAGUUUCUAACAGGUUCCGAUGAGGAUUCUGACAAGACUGCCAUGGUAAGAUGUGAGGAAGGUGGGGAUGACGUCAAAUCAGCACGGCCCUUACGUCCGGGGCUACACACGUGUUACAAUGGGGGGUACAGAGGGCCGCUUACACGCGAGUGGAUGCCAAUCCCCAAAACCUACUCUCAGUUCGGACUGGAGUCUGCAACCCGACUCCGCGAAGCUGGAUUCGCUAGUAAUCGCGCAUCAGCCACGGCGCGGUGAAUACGUUCCCGGGCCUUGUACACACCGCCCGUCAAGCCAUGGGAGCCGGGGGUACGUGAAGUGCGUAACCGCGAGGAGCGCCCUAGG
rnacentral:rRNA from 1 species